rnacentral:rRNA from 1 species
UACGAAGGGGGCUAGCGUUGCUCGGAAUUACUGGGCGUAAAGGGAGCGUAGGCGGAUGUUUAAGUCGGGGGUGAAAGCCCGGGGCUCAACCCCGGAACUGCCUUCGAUACUGGGCAUCUAGAGUACGGGAGAGGUGUGUGGAACUCCGAGUGUAGAGGUGAAAUUCGUAGAUAUUCGGAAGAACACCAGUGGCGAAGGCGACUCGCUGGACAAGUAUUGACGCUGAGGUGCGAAAGCGUGGGGAGCAAACAGG